rnacentral:rRNA from 1 species
CAGCCGCCGCGGUAAUACGUAGGGUGCAAGCGUUAAUCGGAAUUACUGGGCGUAAAGCGUGCGCAGGCGGUUAUAUAAGUCAGAUGUGAAAUCCCCGAGCUUAACUUGGGAACUGCAUUUGAAACUGGCAAGCUAGAGUCUUGUAGAGGGGGGUAGAAUUCCAGGUGUAGCGGUGAAAUGCGUAGAGAUCUGGAGGAAUACCGGUGGCGAAGGCGGCCCCCUGGACAAAGACUGACGCUCAGGUGCGAAAACGUGGGGAGCAAACAGGAUUAGAUACCCCGGUAGUCCCUGUCUCUUAUAC